AGCAGCCGCGGUAAUUCCAGCUCCAAUAGCGUAUAUUAAAGUUGUUGCAGUUAAAAGCUCGUAGUUGAACUUCGGGGUUCGCCCAUUGGUCAGGCUUAAUUGUCUGUACUGGUGAGAUGAAUCUCUACCUUCUGAGGAACUUUCAUGCCAUUUAUUUGGUGUGAUUGGAAAUCAGGACUGUUACUUUGAAAAAAUUAGAGUGUUUAAAGCAGGCUAACGUCUGAAUACAUUAGCAUGGAAAUAAUGAAAUAGGACGGACUGAUUCUAUUUCGUUGGUUUCUAGGAUCACCGUAAUGAUUAAUAGGGAUAGUUGGGGGCAUUAGUAUUCAAUUGUCAGAGGUGAAAUUCUUGGAUUUAUUGAAGACUAACUACUGCGAAAAGCAUUUGCCAAGGAUGUUUUCAUUAAUCAAGAACGAAGUUAGGGGGAUCGAAUGACGAUCAGAUACCGUCGUAGUCUUAACCAUAAACUAUGCCGACUAGGGAUCGGACGAAGUUAAUUUAUAAUGACGCGUUCGGC
rnacentral:rRNA from 1 species